AUUGAACGCUGGCGGAAUGCUUUACACAUGCAAGUCGAACGGCAGCACGGGGGCAACCCUGGUGGCGAGUGGCGAACGGGUGAGUAAUACAUCGGAACGUGCCCAGUCGUGGGGGAUAACGUAGCGAAAGCUACGCUAAUACCGCAUACGAACUCUGGUUGAAAGCGGGGGACUCGCAAGAGCCUCGCGCGAUUGGAGCGGCCGAUGGCAGAUUAGGUAGUUGGUGGGGUAAAGGCUCACCAAGCCGACGAUCUGUAGCUGGUCUGAGAGGACGACCAGCCACACUGGGACUGAGACACGGCCCAGACUCCUACGGGAGGCAGCAGUGGGGAAUUUUGGACAAUGGACGCAAGUCUGAUCCAGCCAUUCCGCGUGCAGGAUGAAGGCCCUCGGGUUGUAAACUGCUUUUGUACGGAACGAAAAGGCCUGAGUUAAUACCUCGGGCUCAUGACGGUACCGUAAGAAUAAGCACCGGCUAACUACGUGCCAGCCGCCGCGGUAAU
rnacentral:rRNA from 1 species